UAUCUAAAACCCUUAACCCCUUCAGUUCAAUCGUUUCUCAUAGAAUUUCCAGAUCUCCGUUCUUCUUUCAUGGCUUCCGCUUGCCAAAGAAUUGCGAGCAGAAUCUCUCAAUCCUCAUUCCGAACAUUCGUCCGUACGAAUUCUUCCGCCAAAUCUUCAUCUUCUCAGUUCCCUCUACCUUCCAAAUCCACUGCUCCGUCUGUUCGCCGAUUCUCGCUCGCCCGGUCUCCGUCGGAGCUGGGAUGUGUUCAAUCCCUUUUGCCAUUUCACGACGCGGUUGCUGGAGCGAGAAUGAUUUCGUGUCUGAGUACGAAUUCGAGGAGUUGUCGUGCGCUUUCUCAGGGUAUUCUCUGCUGCACCUCUCCCGGCCUCUAACAUGAAAUAUUAUGCUUUCUUUUGAAGUGCACAUAAUAUCAUUUGUCAAUAUGCUUGAAAGAAAUAGAUUGGGAAUCUACGGAGCAUCCGAUUAUGGUGCAGUGAAUCGAUUUCAAAUGCAAUUGAUGGUACGUGAGACAUAUUUGCUGUUUUUGAAGAGUUAGGUUUAUCCGUUCCAAGGUGACUUUUUUUGGCAGAUUGUUGCAGUGACAAGGGGAUAUCAGUAAUGGUUUAGAGGAUUUCUUUUAUGAACUGUCACGAAUACUGCUCGUUAACUAAUUUUGAUUCAUCCAGACGACAGAUUGUGUUGAAAUAAAAAUAUAGUGAUUCUAGUUCUCAUGGCAACUUAGGAAAUCAUAUUUUGCCAUUGUUGUGGGUUAUAAAUGUUUGAUCUUUGUCAUACAUUCAAUAUGUACGUUUAUUAUUUAUUGAGAUACACAUCAUAUUAUUUUCU